ACACCCGUUUCCUAUUGGCCGAGAAGCCGGGACUCGCUCCCCACACAGAACUCUCUCACAAAGCGGAGAGUGAGUGAAAACUUAGAGGCACUCAUUUUGGAUUUACCAUCAAGGUAGAGACAUGUUACACGCUAACGACAUUACCUUUGGAGCAAAACAACUCAGAAUUCACGACGACGAGGCCAUGGAACUCAUAAAAUAAUAUCAUUUAAAAAAAAAAGCGAUUUAUGCCAUUUCCAAGCGCUUAAUGCAAAGACCGGCACGAACAAGGGUAUACCGACGAGGAGGCAUACAAAGGUAUAUCAAUUGCUAUUGGUGUGUUAUGCAGAGCCCACUUACCACCCGCCUCCCUUACCUCUUCAAGGAAUAACCCAUAGGCUUCUACAUUAUGGACAAGGUUAAUAAAGUUAACAUGGACACGUACCACGCUGCAUUUUGGCCCGAUCCUUCAUAUUCCUCAUCAGACGAGGACGAGAAUCGUUACAGAAACGGAGAACACUAACACCAACACGCCAGAGGAUAUACCCAUUAUAUUUGGGGCUCUGCUGGGAGUUUCUCAUAUUUGGAUGUUUUAAUUCUGCUUUGCCACUAAAAUCAUAAUAAACACAGACAA